rnacentral:rRNA from 1 species
UUGAACGCUGGCGGCAGGCCUAACACAUGCAAGUCGAGCGGUUGAGAGUAGCUUGCUACUUGAUGCAGCGGCGGACGGGUGAGUAACGCGUGGGAAUCUGCCCAGUAGUGGGGGACAACAGCCGGAAACGGCUGCUAAUACCGCAUACGCCCUACGGGGGAAAGGGGGGGAUCUUCGGACCUCUCGCUAUUGGAUGAGCCCGCGUCGGAUUAGCUAGUUGGUAGGGUAAAGGCCUACCAAGGCUACGAUCCGUAACUGGUCUGAGGGGAUGAUCAGUCACACUGGAACUGAGACACGGUCCAGACUCCUACGGGAGGCAGCAGUGGGGAAUAUUGGACAAUGGGGGAAACCCUGAUCCAGCCAUGCCGCGUGUGUGAAGAAGGCCUUAGGGUUGUAAAGCACUUUCAGUGGGGAGAAAGGUUUGUCACCUAAUACGUGAUGAAAUUGAUGUUACCCACAGAAGAAGCACCGGCUAACUCCGUGCCAGCCGCCGCGGUAACAC